rnacentral:rRNA from 1 species
GACGAACGCUGGCGGCGUGCUUAACACAUGCAAGUCGAACGGAAAGGCCCUGCUUUUGUGGGGUGCUCGAGUGGCGAACGGGUGAGUAACACGUGAGUAACCUGCCCUUGACUUUGGGAUAACUUCAGGAAACUGGGGCUAAUACCGGAUAGGAGCUCCUGCUGCAUGGUGGGGGUUGGAAAGUUUCGGCGGUUGGGGAUGGACUCGCGGCUUAUCAGCUUGUUGGUGGGGUAGUGGCUUACCAAGGCUUUGACGGGUAGCCGGCCUGAGAGGGUGACCGGCCACAUUGGGACUGAGAUACGGCCCAGACUCCUACGGGAGGCAGCAGUGGGGAAUAUUGCACAAUGGGCGGAAGCCUGAUGCAGCAACGCCGCGUGCGGGAUGACGGCCUUCGGGUUGUAAACCGCUUUCGCCUGUGACGAAGCGUGAGUGACGGUAAUGGGUAAAGAAGCACCGGCUAACUACGUGCCAGCAGCCGCGGUGAUACGUAGGGUGCGAGCGUUGUCCGGAUUUAUUGGGCGUAAAGGGCUCGUAGGUGGUUGAUCGCGUCGGAAGUGUAAUCUUGGGGCUUAACCCUGAGCGUGCUUUCGAUACGGGUUGACUUGAGGAAGGUAGGGGAGAAUGGAAUUCCUGGUGGAGCGGUGGAAUGCGCAGAUAUCAGGAGGAACACCAGUGGCGAAGGCGGUUCUCUGGGCCUUUCCUGACGCUGAGGAGCGAAAGCGUGGGGAGCGAACAGGCUUAGAUACCCUGGUAGUCCACGCUGUAAACGGUGGGUACUAGGUGUGGGGUCCAUUCCACGGGUUCCGUGCCGUAGCUAACGCUUUAAGUACCCCGCCUGGGGAGUACGGCCGCAAGGCUAAAACUCAAAGGAAUUGACGGGGCCCGCACAAGCGGCGGAGCAUGCGGAUUAAUUCGAUGCAACGCGUAGAACCUUACCUGGGUUUGACAUGGAUCGGGAGUGCUCAGAGAUGGGUGUGCCUCUUUUGGGGUCGGUUCACAGGUGGUGCAUGGCUGUCGUCAGCUCGUGUCGUGAGAUGUUGGGUUAAGUCCCGCAACGAGCGCAACCCUUGUUCACUGUUGCCAGCACGUUAUGGUGGGGACUCAGUGGAGACCGCCGGGGUCAACUCGGAGGAAGGUGGGGAUGACGUCAAGUCAUCAUGCCCCUUAUGUCCAGGGCUUCACGCAUGCUACAAUGGCUGGUACAGAGAGUGGCGAGCCUGUGAGGGUGAGCGAAUCUCGGAAAGCCGGUCUCAGUUCGGAUUGGGGUCUGCAACUCGACCUCAUGAAGUCGGAGUCGCUAGUAAUCGCAGAUCAGCAACGCUGCGGUGAAUAAAUUCCCGGGGCU